rnacentral:rRNA from 1 species
UACGUAGGUGGCAAGCGUUAUCCGGAAUUACUGGGUGUAAAGGGUGUGUAGGCGGGGAUGCAAGUCAGAUGUGAAAAUUACAGGCUUAACCUGUAACCUGCAUCUGAAACUGCGUUUCUUGAGUGUCGGAGAGGUAAAUGGAAUUCCUGGUGUAGCGGUGAAAUGCGUAGAUAUCAGGAGGAACACCGGUGGCGAAGGCGAUUUACUGGACGACAACUGACGCUGAAACACGAAAGCGUGGGGAGCAAACAGGAUUAGAUACCCUGGUAGUCCACGCUGUAAACGAUGAACACUAGGUGUAGGCAAGAAAUUGUCUGUGCCGCAGUUAACACAAUAAGUGUUCCACCUGGGGAGUACGGCCGCAAGGUUGAA